UCAUACUCACCUGUAAGUCCUUGCUCGAGGGUGGUAGCUCCCCCUCGGGCGAUGUGCUCCGGAGUUGUCAUCACUGGGUCGUAGCGAGUAUCUCCCCAGAGGACGGUCCCGUCGGGUUGUAGCGGGUAUCUCCCCGAUAUUAGGGAUUUGGUUGGUGAGUCGUUGAGGGCGAAACCUACGGGUUAGCCAAGAGAUUGGGUAAUGAGAUUAUGACCUUGCAUUCAGCAUGAGCAUACUAUUGAGCAUUACAUUUAUUAUUGUUCAGGCAUAUUAGCUGCAUUUGUAUAGUUUGGUUACUAUCUAUAUCUCUUUUCUUCUAUUAUGCCUGAUUUAGACCUAGUGGGAAAGUCGGCGUGGUUGGUUGCCGAAUCCACUGGAAACUUUGUUGUAGUUCUCACACCCCAUUUUCCAUAGAGCCCGGACUGAGCGAGCCGGCGGAUGAUCGCGGUAAGGGCAUCGCGCCCUAGUUAGAGACCGCCCGAGAUGGUUAUCAUUUUGUAGUCGCAUACCCUUUACUAUCAUCUUUUGUAUUUGAUGAUUUUAGUAUCAUGAACAUGUUUUAAUGAAUGAUGUAAAGGAUAUUUAUUUUAAAUGUCAAAAGUUAUAUUUUGGGAGAAAUGAGAUGUAAAAAGAAAUGACGCAAGAAUGUGAAAGAACUUGAUUAUAGUUGGAUGCAUGUAUGUGAUUUAAAUUUAGUCAUAUUACUUGUAUGUUGAAUUAUUAAUUCUUUCACUUUGGCUAUUGCUUGCCCUCGUGCAAGCCUUUGUGUAUGCUUCCGCUUAUGCAAAUUUUUACUCUAUUGAUACUUGUUGUUGAGCCUUUGGCGGACAGGGGAAGCUCUGUCCGUUCGGCGUCUAUUUGACGCUCUCGAACCGGCCAAAAGG
rnacentral:lncRNA from 1 species